AAUCUUCCACAAUGGACGAAAGUCUGAUGGAACAACGCCGCGUGAUUGAAGAAUGUUUUCGGUUCAUAAAGCUCUGUUGUGAGGGAAGAACAAGUACAGGAGUCACCGUCUGUACUUUUAAGGUACCUCUCCAGAAAGCCACCGCUAACUACGUGCCAGCAGCCGCGGUAAUACGUAGGUGGCAAGCGUUGUCCGGAAUUAUUGGGCGUAAAGCGCGCGCAGGCGGUCCUUUAAGUCUGAUGUGAAAGCCCACGGCUCAACCGUGGAGGGUCAUUGGAAACUGGAGGACUUGAGUACAGAAGAGGAAAGCGGAAUUCCACGUGUAGCGGUGAAAUGCGUAGAGAUGUGGAGGAACACCAGUGGCGAAGGCGGCUUUCUGGUCUGUAACUGACGCUGAGGCGCGAAAGCGUGGGGAGCAAAC
rnacentral:rRNA from 1 species